rnacentral:rRNA from 1 species
AGAGUUUGAUCCUGGCUCAGGAUGAACGCUAGCGAUAGGCCUAACACAUGCAAGUCGAGGGGCAGCACAUGAGUAGCAAUACGAUGGUGGCGACCGGCGCACGGGUGAGUAACACGUAUGCAACCUACCUUUAACAGGGGAAUAACCCGUUGAAAAACGGACUAAUACUCCAUAACACAGGGGUCCCGCAUGGGAAUAUUUGUUAAAGAUUUAUCGGUUGAAGAUGGGCAUGCGUUCCAUUAGCUUGUUGGUGAGGUAACGGCUCACCGAGGCUACGAUGGAUAGGGGAACUGAGAGGUUUAUCCCCCACACUGGAACUGAGACACGGUCCAGACUCCUACGGGAGGCAGCAGUGAGGAAUAUUGGUCAAUGGAGGCAACUCUGAACCAGCCAAGUCGCGUGAAGGAUGAAGGUCUUAUGGAUUGUAAACUUCUUUUGCAAGGGAAUAAAGUGGGUGACGUGUCCUCCUUUGCAUGUACCUUGCGAAUAAGGAUCGGCUAACUCCGUGCCAGCAGCCGCGGUAA